AACGAACGCUGGCGGCAGGCUUAACACAUGCAAGUCGAGCGCGUAGCAAUACGAGCGGCAGACGGGUGAGUAACGCGUGGGAACGUACCCUUUACUACGGAAUAGCUCCGGGAAACUGGAAUUAAUACCGUAUGUGCCCUUUGGGGGAAAGAUUUAUCGGUAAAGGAUCGGCCCGCGUUGGAUUAGCUAGUUGGUGGGGUAAUGGCCUACCAAGGCGACGAUCCAUAGCUGGUCUGAGAGGAUGAUCAGCCACAUUGGGACUGAGACACGGCCCAAACUCCUACGGGAGGCAGCAGUGGGGAAUAUUGGACAAUGGGCGCAAGCCUGAUCCAGCCAUGCCGCGUGAGUGAUGAAGGCCUUAGGGUUGUAAAGCUCUUUCACCGGAGAAGAUAAUGACGGUAUCCGGAGAAGAAGCCCCGGCUAACUUCGUGCCAGCAGCCGCCGUAAUAC
rnacentral:rRNA from 1 species